AGUUGAAGUAUCUCCGCAUGGACAGUACCUAAUAUCGCUUCUUUCUGGCAGAAGAAAUGUUAUUAAGUCAUCGUUUAGACUACUUUGGAUACCUUUCAUUCUCGGUCAUAUUCGAUGUGGGCCAUUCCCUUACCCUGUCUGAUGUAUGGCGUGAAGCUGUAGAAAAUCAUGAAAAAGGGUUAAGCUGCAAGGCUAGUGAUACCAAAUGAAGUAUUUUUGUUCAUUGAAGUGCAGUAAGAAAGAAAACAGUUAUUUUGUGGGAUUUGAACCUAUAUUUGUCAUGAAAAUAAGUUUUUCAAGCAGUCAUUGUAUCAUCCUUGAACUUGUUUAUAUUUUUAAUAUUUUAUUGUAAACAUUUUAUAUAAAUAUUUUUCCAUUCCAUA
rnacentral:misc_RNA from 1 species